rnacentral:tRNA from 1 species
GCCUGGGUAGCUCAGUUGUAGAGCUGACUAGAGUUGCAGGGGUCCUGGGUUUGAUUCCCAGUUCAGCCA